AUGAAAAUUAAAUUUCUAAAUCCAAUCUAAAAUUAUUGAAUUAAAAAAUUUGCAACAUUCAUUUCGCAUGACAGUAUACCAAAUUUUCAUUCGUACUAUCAGGUGCAAUCCAGCCUGUAAUAUAACAAUAAAUUGUAAAUAACGUCAUGUGAGUUGAAAAACUUUACAGUAAAUAUAUAUAUACUUAGUGUGGAAGUCUACAUUCAAAAUCCAACAACAAACGAGGAUGUACUUAUAGGAGUUGUUGCAGAUUCUUUAGCUAAAUUAAGUAAAAAUACCUUUUUUUUAACUUUAUUGAUGUAAGGCUAUUUGACGACGCCGGUAAUUCUACAAUAAAUGAUUAUAAAUAAUGAAUUUUA